rnacentral:rRNA from 1 species
AUACGGAGGGUCCGAGCGUUAAUCGGAAUUACUGGGCGUAAAGCGCGCGUAGGUGGAUGUAUAAGUCAGAUGUGAAAGCCCUGGGCUCAACCUAGGAACUGCGUUUGAAACUGUACGUCUAGAGUAUGGGAGAGGUGAGUGGAAUUUCAGGUGUAGCGGUGAAAUGCGUAGAGAUCUGAAGGAACAUCAGUGGCGAAGGCGACUCACUGGGCCAUUACUGACACUGAGGUGCGAAAGCGUGGGUAGCAAACAGGAUUAGAAACCCUAGUAGUCC